rnacentral:rRNA from 1 species
GACGAACGCUGGCGGCGUGCCUAAUACAUGCAAGUAGAACGCUGAAGGAGGAGCUUGCUUCUCCGGAUGAGUUGCGAACGGGUGAGUAACGCGUAGGUAACCUGCCUGGUAGCGGGGGAUAACUAUUGGAAACGAUAGCUAAUACCGCAUAACAGUAGAUAUUGCAUGAUAUCUGCUUGAAAGGUGCAAUUGCAUCACUACCAGAUGGACCUGCGUUGUAUUAGCUAGUUGGUGGGGUAACGGCUCACCAAGGCGACGAUACAUAGCCGACCUGAGAGGGUGAUCGGCCACACUGGGACUGAGACACGGCCCAGACUCCUACGGGAGGCAGCAGUAGGGAAUCUUCGGCAAUGGACGGAAGUCUGACCGAGCAACGCCGCGUGAGUGAAGAAGGUUUUCGGAUCGUAAAGCUCUGUUGUAAGAGAAGAACGAGUGUGAGAGUGGAAAGUUCACACUGUGACGGUAUCUUACCAGAAAGGGACGGCUAACUACGUGCCAGCAGCCGCGGUAAUACGUAGGUCCCGAGCGUUGUCCGGAUUUAUUGGGCGUAAAGCGAGCGCAGGCGGUUAGAUAAGUCUGAAGUUAAAGGCUGUGGCUUAACCAUAGUACGCUUUGGAAACUGUUUAACUUGAGUGCAGAAGGGGAGAGUGGAAUUCCAUGUGUAGCGGUGAAAUGCUUAGAUAUCAUGAAGAACUCCGAUUGCGAAGGCAGCAUACGGGAGUGUAACUGACGCUUAAGCUCGAAGGUGCGGGUAUCGAACAGG